rnacentral:rRNA from 1 species
AACGAACGCUGGCGGCAGGCUUAACACAUGCAAGUCGAACGCACCUUUCGGGGUGAGUGGCAGACGGGUGAGUAACGCGUGGGAAUCUACCCUUCUCUACGGGAUAGCUCCGGGAAACUGGAAUUAAUACCGUAUACGUCCUGAGGGAGAAAGAUUUAUCGGGGAAGGAUGAACCCGCGUUGGAUUAGCUAGUUGGUGGGGUAAAGGCCUACCAAGGCGACGAUCCAUAGCUGGUCUAAGAGGAUGAUCAGCCACAUUGGGACUGAGACACGGCCCAAACUCCUACGGGAGGCAGCAGUGGGGAAUAUUGGACAAUGGGCGCAAGCCUGAUCCAGCCAUGCCGCGUGAGUGAUGAAGGCCCUAGGGUUGUAAAGCUCUUUCAGUGGGGACGAUAAUGACGGUACCCACAGAAGAAGCCCCGGCUAACUUCGUG